rnacentral:rRNA from 1 species
CGGCAAUGCGGCAGCUACCAUGCAGUCGAGCGAUGAACUGCUUUUUGCUGGGGGGAUGAGGGGCACGGGUGCGAGUCACGCGUGCGUCCCUGCUUUUAUCUCGGGUAUACGUCCGGAAAGAUGGGUCUACCCCGGAUAUGACUCCUGUCUCAUGGUGGGUGGAGGACUGCUUUUUGUGGUUUUGGAUGGACUCAAGACCAAACAGCUGGUGGGGGAGGUAAUGGCUCACCAAGGGAACUACGGGGGGCCGGACUGGGAGGGUGACCGGCUGACUGGGACUGAGACACGGCACUCACUCCUACGGGAGGCAGCAGUGGGGAAUAUUGCUGAGUGGGAGCAAGCCUGAUGCAUCGAGGCCGCGUGAGGGAUGACGGCCUUCUGGUUGUAUUCUUCUUUCAAUAGGGAAGAAUUUCCAGUGACGGUACCUGCAAAGUAAUGGCCGGCUAACUACCUGCCAACAGCCGGCGUAAUACCUAGGGCGUACGCGUUAUCCGGAAUUAUUGGGCGUAAAGAGCUCGUAGGCGGUUUGUCGCGUCUGCUGUGAAAGUCCGGGGCUCAACUCCAGAUCUGCUGUGGGUACGGGCAGACUACAGCGAUGUAUGGGAGACUGGAAUUCCUGGUGUAGCGGUGAAAUGCGCAUAUAUCACGAAGAACACCGAUGGAAAACGAAUGUCUCUGGCCGUUCACUGACGCUGAACAGCGAAUGAUGGACGAGCGAACAGGAUUAGAUACCCUGUUAGACCAUGCCGUAUACGUCGCCGCACUACGAGUGGAGGACAUUCUACGUUUUCCGCGCUCAUACUAACACAUAAAGUGCCCCUUCAGGCGAGUGCCGACGCAGGCUCAAACUCGAAUGAAUUGCCCGGUGACCGGCACAACCAGCGGACCAUGCAUAUAUAUUCUAUGCUACUCGAAACAACCUUACCAAUGCCUUGACACUGUAACGGACCAGUCGCCGAAAUUUGGAUUUCCCCUCUUGGGUCCGGU